rnacentral:rRNA from 1 species
UACGAAGGGGGCUAGCGUUGCUCGGAAUCACUGGGCGUAAAGCGCACGUAGGCGGAUCUUUAAGUCAGGGGUGAAAUCCUGGAGCUCAACUCCAGAACUGCCUUUGAUACUGGGGAUCUCGAGUCCGGAAGAGGUGAGUGGAACUCCGAGUGUAGAGGUGAAAUUCGUAGAUAUUCGGAAGAACACCAGUGGCGAAGGCGGCUCACUGGCCGGUACUGACGCUGAGGUGCGAAAAGCGUGGGGAGCAAACAGGGAUUAAGAAACCCCGGUGA